CAGUAACCCCCAUGUCCACACCGACAGCUGCAUUAAACUCUUUGACAAAGCAGUUAGUUACUUUGAUCAGAAUAAUCCAUUUGCCCUAUCUCAGGGACCUUUCACCUGAAGCUUUUUCUGAACAGGGGAGAGGGGCGGGUAGACCCAUUUGUUUGGAUGAGAGCUGUCCAUUUCUCCUAUCCCAGGCAAGCUUGCCCUGUCUCCUUCCUGUCAGCCUUUGUUAGCCUUGACCCUUUAAUCAUUUGGGAUGCUCCUAGAGACAUUAGGAUUUUAGUCUGUCCUUGAGAAAACACUGGACCCUUCCUGCUUCCCAUUUUCAUGAUGAAGGAGAAACUCUUCUACAGGAGCCAAUUUGAUGAGACGAAUUCCAGAAUUCGAGCAGUUAAAUGAGAAAUCACAUUUGCCACCUGGUCUGGAGUGGGUGAGUGAUGGGAGACCCUUCUGUGUAUACGUUUGUCUUAUUAGUUGAUGAAUAAAGCACUGUUGGCCACUAGGAAAGCAUGAUAGGUGGGACUAAGAGUCGAGGCGGUUUCUGGGAAAUGUAUUAGAGGAGAGUCGCCAUGUGAGCCUGGGAAGACAAGACACUUGCUGCCGGUGUCCUCAAUAAGGGCCAGGGGAGACCGUUGGUGAAGUGACUGGCACACAAGCAAGAAGACCUGACAACCCACAUAAACACCCAGGAGUGUGAGGUGGCAUGCUUGUAGCCCAACUGCUGGGGUAAGGACAGGUAGGUCCCUGUCCCACCUAGCCUGUUCAGUGAGCUUCAGGCCAGUGAGACACUGUCUCCAGAAGGAGGAGAAAUGAAGUCUGCCUAAGAGGAUGAAGUCAUCCAGCAAUGUAAAUCUAAGAGCAAACAGAGGAGGACACACAGCUGCUUCAACACCAGAGUGUAGCAGAUGCCUGGGCUGUUUGGGAAUGCUAAGGAAAGUUCCCGAGCCAGCACAUCCCAGAGCUCUGCAUUUUGCCUGAAUGUGAAUUCCCUUUCUCUUUCUCUCCUCUCACUAUUUAGGUUGCUAUAUGGAAAUACCACGAAGGUAUAAGCUCGGAAUAUUAACCAAAAUGAUGGAGGCCAGAGAAUCUGAGCCAGAUGUUCCCAUUCUCAAUGUAUUCAAAAAAAAAAAAAAAACACAUUAGGACAAUUUUCAAGUUAUCUGUGUCUUGGCUGCUCAACAUAGGAGAUACUUUGGAACUUAAGAGUACCUUAAUAACAUAUACAUGCAAGUAAUACUAUGUAGGCUGAGCAAGUCGUAUUUAUGAGUUUAGGAACA
rnacentral:lncRNA from 1 species